GACGAACGCUGGCGGCGUGCUUAACACAUGCAAGUCGAACGGGAAGUCCCUGCUUUUGUGGGCUGCUCGGGUGGUGAAAUUGUGAGUACCACGUGAGUAAUCUGCCCUUGACUUUGGGAUACCUUCAGGAAACUGGCGCUUAUACCGGGUAGCAGCUCCCGCUGCAUAGUGGGGGCUGGCAUGUUGCGGCGGUGGGGGGUGGAAUCGCGGCUUAUCAGCUUGAUGGUGGGGUUGUGGCGUACCAAGGCUUUCACCGGUAGCCGGCCUGUGAGGGUGACCGGCGACACUGGGACAGAGAGACGGCCCAGACUCCUACAGGAGGCAGAAGAGGGGAAAAUAGCACAAAGGGCGGAAGCCUGAGGCAGCAACGCCGCGUGCGAGAUGACGACCUUCGGGGUGUAAACCGCUUUCGCCUAUGACGAGGAGUGAGUGACGGUAAUGUAGAAAGAAGCACCGGCUAACUACGUG
rnacentral:rRNA from 1 species